CGAUUAAAAUGACUGCCACCGUUAAACACUGUUCUAAAAUUGCUUUAUAUUGUUUAGACAUCUUCCGGACCGUAAUCUGUGACCAUAUGAGGGCUCCAGAAUUCUACAUUAAAUCAGUAAACCAAUGCUCCUGGAGAGUGCAUCCUUGCAAGAGUCUUGAAGAUUGUGAGAGAGGAAAUUACGCAAUAUGCAAAAGCGGAUGCUCCUCAAUGGGAUUUAGAGCCGACAAACCAAAAAGAAGUGGCAGAUUUUAUCUGAAGACAACCAGCAACUCGCCAUUUUGCUGAAGGCGAAAAAGUGGAAAGAGUUGCUGACUGACGCCUUGAUUAAAGAAUCCAGCAUCUCAAGUCUACGGAUUGAUUGAGGAUUAAAUGUCUUCGUUUCCUUGA